AGACAGCAGUCGCCACGGUAAUACGUAGGUGGCAAGCGUUGUCCGGAAUUAUUGGGCGUAAAGCGCGCGCAGGUGGUUUAAUAAGUCUGAUGUGAAAGCCCACGGCUCAACCGUGGAGGGUCAUUGGAAACUGUUAAACUUGAGUGCAGGAGAGAAAAGUGGAAUUCCUAGUGUAGCGGUGAAAUGCGUAGAGAUUAGGAGGAACACCAGUGGCGAAGGCGGCUUUUUGGCCUGUAACUGACACUGAGGCGCGAAAGCGUGGGGAGCAAACAGGAUUAGAUACCCCUGUAGUCCCUGUCUCUUAUAA
rnacentral:rRNA from 1 species